rnacentral:lncRNA from 1 species
AUGGGGACAGCGGUGGGGUCUGUGCUGCGAUGGCAGGGAGCAGCCGGGUCCCAUCCCUGCAUCGGGAGGUGGGGAGGGACGGGCGGGAGGGCGCAGCUGCUGCCCCGUAAGGCUGAGCAUCCCAAACUCACGGCUUUGGUUGCAGGUCGUGGCGAAGGAGCGCGCCUGUGCGGAGUUGGUGCAGAGGUAGAGGCACAAAAGGGAUCCUGGGGGGGGGAAGGAGGGGGGCGAAGGGGUCACAGCGGGGAUCCCCACGUUUGUCUUGUCGCCCCGUGUCCCUGCAGCUGGGGGUUGGCACCCGGGGAGCGGCAGCAGGAGAUGUGGGCCGCGUCCUUCGGGGCGCUGCGCUGGAGCCUGGAGGAGGAGCUGCGCCUCGCCAGCAAGGAGCUGAUGGCGGUGGGUGCCGCCCGGGGGCUCCGGGCUCCUCUUUUUGGUUGCCGUGGGCUUCAAUGCCGGCCCCGCAGAUGCGGCGGGCGGCUCUGGAUCGGCUCCUGCAGGACGAGCGACGGCAGCAGCAGCGGGAGCUGCGGCGAUGCGGGAAGGCGUUCCACGUGGAGCGGCUGUGACCGGCGGGCAGCGGCGUCUCCGGGCAUCAAACGGCGCUGGGCUGGGAAUAAAGCGGCUGAAAUAGACGGGGCUGCCGCGUGCUUAUGGGGCGGAGGGGCAGGAAAAAGGGGCGGCCCGGCCCGAACCCCGGCGCGGAUCCCUUCGUGCGCUGCAUCCCUCGCACGCAGCUGCGCCAGGAGAUGGCAGCACGGCCGCCCCUCGUGCUCCGCAUCCCGGUGCCCGCAGCGCUGCGUGCGAUGCCCGCGGUCGGGUCGCUCCCUCAGCCCCUGCCCACGCCCGACCUUGGUGUCUCCCGGCCCCAGGGUCCAUCAGCGCUGCCCGGCUCAGCUUAUUGACAGGGCCGGGGGCUGUGGGGCCGUCACCCCCCGCCAGCAGCCCUUCAUUAGAGCCGCUGUCACCUCGCAUCACAUCACACCGCACGCGCAGCCCCGCAUCCCGGCUCUGCUGCCACGUGUGUCCCCGCCGUCCCCACAGCCCCCCCCCCCGCUGUCCCGCCGCCACCCCCUGCUCUCCACCCUGGGCUGCGUCCCUGUCCCCACGUCCCCCCCACGGUGGCUUUGCGUCCCCCCAGCCCCGUUUUUCUGA